UCACUUCAGCAGUCUAUGUACUAAAAUAAGAUUGACACAGAGAAGAUUAGCAUGGCCCCUGUGCAAGGAUGACAUAAAGUUUUUGAAGCAUUCCAAACAAAA